rnacentral:rRNA from 1 species
UACGUAGGGGGCAAGCGUUGUCCGGAUUUAUUGGGCGUAAAGAGCGUGUAGGCGGCCAGACAGGUCAGCUGUGAAAACUCGAGGCUCAACCUCGAGACGUCGGUUGAAACCGUCUGGCUAGAGUCCGGAAGAGGAGAGUGGAAUUCCCGGUGUAGUGGUGAAAUGCGUAGAGAUCGGGAGGAACACCUGUGGCGAAGGCGGCCGGCUGGGGGUGCCCUGACGCUGAGGCGCGAAAGCGUGGGGAGCGAACCGG